UACAGGGGGUGCAAACGUUGCUCGGAAUUAUUGGGCGUAAAGCGCGCGUAGGCGGCCGCUUAAGUCGGAUGUGAAAGCCCCUGGCUCAACUGGGGAAGUGCACCCGAAACUGAGUGGCUUGAGUACUAAAGAGGGUCGCGGAAUUCCCGGUGUAGAGGUGAAAUUCGUAGAUAUCGGGAGGAACACCGGUGGCGAAGGCGGCGAGCCUGG
rnacentral:rRNA from 1 species